AAGCGUUUGAAGUCAGUCACGUCUGUCGGAAUUCAGCCUGGCUUCUGCCUGGUGUAUUUUCUGGCUGACGGGUCAGCAUCAAUUUCGACCGAGGGAAAAAGACUUGGGGAAUGUGGCUGUCUUCGGGCAGUGUUAUAGACCCUUGUUGUAUGUCUCGGUUGGGAUUGAGGAACGCAGCGCGCCUUUUGGCCGGGGUUCGCGCCCUCGGUACGCGCUUAGGAUGCUGGCAUAAUGGCUUUAAGCGA
rnacentral:rRNA from 1 species